UCAGAUAUUAUUUUAGAUAUUAUGAUGGUCAUAUAAGGCGGCGAAUUUAUCCGGACAGCAUAACCGAAUUGAGUCGUUUUUGUCAAGCUACUGAUGUCUUUGUAGAAACAGCGUACUCUUUGCGAUAGGGUAGCUAUUGGAGAUGUAUAGUCCGUAACAAGAUCUCCGGGGAGAAAUAGUUCUCCUACAGGAAUGACACUAUGAUGAUCUGAUGACCUCACUUGAUUACCAGCCUGUGCCACGAAAGGGAGAACUGCGGAAGCACUUCAGACGCUUUUGUCAUGGUUCGUACGGGCAGGUUCACAGCACAUUGCUUUCUUCUAGGAAGCAAAACACCUUGCCCUUAUCGGACUGUAAACGCUUUUGUCGUUCAGCGAAAAUGCAGCGGAAAAGCGCUGAGAUCCUAAUUCGAGCUUAAUUCACAAGGCUAUCACUCUACGGGGCUCAGCAGUCGUGAACGUCAAUUCCGAGGUUCUUAAAUGUCCUCAGUAUGAAGUGUGCAUAGACCGCUACUGAGAAGAACCGCAAGCUGUUUAUGUAGUAAAGAAUUUCGUUGAUCAGAUUGUAUCAGUGAGCUGGGUCAAUAAAAGACUAAUUGAAUACCGGGUUGAUGGCAUACGAGGCUGUGAUUGAGAACGACACUCUGACCCAAAACAAUCUAAAGACCCCUAUUUCACUUCACUUCUAUAGCGUGCUUCCCGUAGCAUCAGAGUACGAUUUCUAUUACACUAGAACUAAGCCAAUCGAUGAGAUCGACUGUAAUUUUUUCUCUAACUUAACAACACUGUGAAUUGGCUUAUAAACAUUACGGUAAAAAGGGGCAAUAGUGUAAUUAGUUGUAAAAUGAAUUUGUCUUGGAUUUCCUACAUUAGUAAUAGCAAGUACAAUUGUUAUUAUUCCAGUAGCAUUUUUUUUUUUUCUAUUUUUAGCUAAUUGCUAAUUUUUAGCUAAUGUAACGCUUGAACAAAUACCCAGUGCCUUUUGACAAAUUUACUUUUAUCAGCUUUUAUUGGCUUCAACUGUUAUUGGCAAAACUAGGCAAUAUUUAGGACUAUUUCCCUCGAAGGCAAGCUUUGCCUGCUCUUUCAUGACGGCCAAUUAAUUCGUAUCUUACAUCACAUUAGCUGGACUAUAAAGUUGCUAACGUCUUAUAAAUCUGAAGAGCGAGCGAGCUGACUGGAAAAGGGAAUGCUUUGUGCCAGUAAGAUUGGUUGCGUCUGAUGGUUUUACUGGGCUUACAUCAGCCAGUUGGACGAUGAUUUCUUUUAAUCUCGCGUCGUCUUGUUCGGCUAUUUACAUUUUAGCACAGAGUUUUAACGCCGCACAGUAUCAUCAUAGAGUACCCACAUAUAUAGGAUACUCGCUCUACGUAGUUGUGCAGCUUGCUUUGUAAUUAUAAGCCUUGUUACGCUUAGGUCGCGAGCCGCCAUGGCCUUUAAAUAGCAUUUACCCAUACCUAUAUUGUACGCGAGACAAUUUAUAAUAUUUGCGCGCUAAACCAAUAGCUUCUGCCCGCUGUUAUCGACCAAAAUUCUCCAAAGCACCGUGCGUGUUGAAUGCUUCUUCGUUUACUUCACUAGCCAUAAACAGCAAUCAUGCUUGGUAACACUGUACCUAUGGGACUUUCAAAAAUUUCUAUGAAUGUGUAUGUGCGAAGGGUGAAUUUGGAAAAAUAUUUUUUAAAAAAUGUUCGAUAUACUUUGUCAAAAGUGAACUUCAUAAGCAGCCAAUCAUUUUACUUGCUCUAUUCUGAAGAUCGCAGGCCGUGCUUUGGCGACUAAGAUCAAACGUCUGUGGCCAGUUUCACUUUGUGCGAAUCAUUAGGCCUCUCGAAAACCGCGCAGGCUAAGAUACUCAAAUUGUAAAAAAUCAACUCUUCCAGACAGGACAACUACCUGCUUAAACAUACUGAUUGAAAUAACUUAGGUCCUCUGAAAUUUACCUGGGUUGUAAACUGGGGACGGUGGAGUAUCGCUGUUCGGUUGAGAGAAGUUUCGUCUGGACUUCGAGGCAUAGCAACAGGUCCAUGCAAUAAUCGCUCGUAUUUCCAAUAUCGUUGGAAAAAUUAUCAGUCUGGGUUACACUGAAAGCAUCCCAGAAGACAGUGACCCAAGCUUUUCAGCGAACUUCCGUGCUCUAUAGACACAUAUUAUGUAUCGAUACGUGUACUGAUCCCCAACGAGGCAACUCCAAGAGUUCGUGUGAACAUGUAUGUAACUGGCAAAGUUAAUCAAGUUGCACGUCACUUUUUUCUAUAAGUGGAGCAGAUUAAACGAACGCAUUAUUAGUUACGAGUGUAGGCCAAUAAAAUUUGAGUUCUUAGAAAGCGGAAAGUUCAUCCUAGAUGUAGGAUAGGAAUCGACGUUUUAACAAUGGUCAAUAUGGUAGCCCAUUUCAAUUAGGUUUUUUCAUCUCAAUAUGUCGACGUAAAACUAUUGAUGACCAGUGACCAAUUUUCGGCCAGAACAUUGCUUGUCCGAUCAUUUUUCGAACAGCCAUGUCGGUUGGUAUUGGUAUACUGGUAGCGUCUAACAGUCAUAGCGUUUAUUAAUUAAAGCUUUUUUCUAACGAUUCUACUGACUUUUAUUUACCCGACUGCUUUCAUUUGUUCUGAUGGCACAUUGGCUUUUCUACUCUCGAUUUCAGACCUGGUUCAAUUUCUACUUUCAUAUGAGUUUUUGCAGAUUUGUUGAUUUAAUAUAUAUGAAGUACAAGAUCUCUAUUAACAGGCUUCGUUUCAGUUGGCAGCUGGUCGAUUUAAGUAAGUUCGAAUAAGAGUACUUAUUAACGUAUAACAGUUUAGCUUAUCUCGCGACGGUCGAAAAUUAGCUCAUUAGAAAGAUCCUAGAGAAACUAAAUGGCCAACAGCUUUCUCACUGGGACAUUGCUUCUGGUUGAUGAGUUUUUGCCAUGUCCAACAUUCUACGAAAGGCUACUCCCUAUUCAGGACUGACUCUGAAACCCAGGUUCUGUCGACGAUUGGAAACGCACGUUUACGUCGCUGUAGGUAGCGACAAACGAGACACAUCUGCUGAAGAUAUUUCAAGACCGUCAUGCCAAACGUUUCUAGACUUCAGUGGAAUAUACAUUUGUUUUGAUCUCGUCGAUGACGCCAUUUGGGCAGCAGAAAUGUUCAAAAGUGCUGAUGCAGUGUGAAGAGAACUCAUAUUUGCCAGCAGCAGUUAAGGCUGUACCUUUCAUGUAAAUAGGUGUGACGAACAAGCCUUGAUGACAUGUAGGCUUCUAUUAACUGAUAUCGAAAACGCACAGUCUAGACGGGCGCGCUGCUACACACUGACCUUGUGGACUUCAAAACGACUUUCGAUUUGGUGCCAUCGUUUUGAGGUUUUUGGCUAGAGGAAUAGUAUCCAGAAAAUUGCUGAGGCAUAUAAUCGCUGCCCUUUAAGAAAACCAGAUAAGAAUCGAUGAUGGCUUAGGGAAAGUUUUCCCUUUCCCUCCAACAACAAACUUCGCGCAGGACAAUGGCCUCAAACCUCUACUGUGCUCGGCACCUUUGGAGGAUUUGCUAGCUGAAAUCCAAAGACCAAGAACCCUCGUGAACGUAAUUUUAUACGCAGACAGCUACGUGUAAAAUCAGACGCUCCCAAGAUUAGUAAUCGGUAGCUAAGCUGCAUGUAAUCCCAGUAGAAUUCGGCUUAGCUGAGAAUUUGAUAAAAACAGUAACGAUGAAGUUUAGAAGCUUCUCAAAACGCUAUCUCUAUCGCAAAAUCGCUGCUCGACUACAUAGGCAAUUUUCCCUGUGUAAAAACCCUUCUCUCAUUCAAUGGUAGAUGUUCUCCGUUGCCGUCACAGAGAGACAUAAAAACGUAAUGCUAACGAUAUCAACUAUUAACAAUCUCCAUCUCCUCUUAGUCACUAGUGCUCACUGGCUAUUCGACUGCAAAAAAAGCCACGGCACAGAGAUCAUAUAGAAGGGCGGCCUUCUUGUAAACUUGCAGUACGUAAAUUAGCUCAAAGCUGGGUGUUGAAGCAUGUUUCUUGACUCCACCGCUCGGCACGAAAUCAGCUAGUUGUCUUUUUACCCUGUUCGUACCCGCCCCUGUUUAUCAAGGAGUAAAAACGACAAUUUUACAUUUCGCUUACACCUUUAAUGAACGCCUAGCUAUUCGGGAGGCCACAUUCACGGAACUAGACGCCGUGGUCUACAAGUCUGAAGGUGUGUAAGACCGCGCAUGAAUGGCACUAGAUCACUCAAAUCGCCGAACUAUAGUCAAGCGCCUGGUGCGUGGCUUCUACUAUCUGCAACAAGUUAAACAACAUGUAAUUCCGAAUUUUCAGGAACCAAAUAAAAUAUGCAUGUGUAUAAGGUACGGGGCAUAGUGUGAUCAAUAUUACGCUUCUUGAGUUCUUGAUGGGCUUUGUAAGGGGAACCUAGCGCCUUACCCAUUCCCACACAAUAUAUUACUUCGGAUAAUAUUUUUAUACAAAACAUCGUUAUGUAGUAUAUGUUUGUGAUUUACUUAAAUAAUAAUAAAAGUAAAUACAUUCCGCUGAACUGCACCCAUCAUGCAAAUUGCAUGAGAAAACGCCCGGAAAGUUCGUUGAAUUGAAUUGUAACUUGAAAGGUUUCAUAGGAUAAGGGGCGUCUUCUGUCUAAGUAAAAACACGAUUUUUUUAUAAUAUUAUUUUUGGCCCACUACAGACAUCACAAACGCUUAGCGUUUGUGUAUCUUUUUCUACAAACCUGCUGAAGAUGUUUAUCCUCAGAGGCGUUACAGAAUGUGUUAAAAAAUGAUAGCAGCUUUCGGCUGCAGUAAGCCGUAUUAAAAUCUCCACAACAGAUAGGUAGAGAGCGAGAGAGAAGGGGAGAGUGUGUCUUUUUUCGCGUUUUUUCCAGUGCCACACCCACAGAAUUAAGCAGGUAAGCGAAUUUAUUCGGCAUACUGCUAAAAGCCAUAAGCUUACCAAAAAGUUAAAAAUGGCUCAAGGAAACCCUGGAUGAGCUCGAAAGAGCAUGUUAUUUAGGUGGAAAAUAGUAUUGAGUAAGCCUGUUUCUACUACUUCUAAUUAUAAUUAUACGCUAUAAACUUCAUAGCGGUUAUCCUGUUCUAGACUAGAAUAAAUCAAGUUCUAAAA